AAUCAACGCUGGCGGCGUGCCUAACACAUGCAAGUCGAACGAGAAGGUGACUUCGGUCACUGGAUAGUGGCGUCCGGGUGAGUAACACGUAGGUAAUCUACCUUCGGGUGGGGAAUAACGUCUCGAAAGAGACGCUAAUACCGCAUAAUGCAGCGGCACCUAAUGGUGAUUAGUUGUUAAAGCGGGGGAUCUUCGGACCUCGCGCCUGAAGAGGAGCCUGCGGCAGAUUAGCUAGUUGGUGAGGUAAUGGCUCACCAAGGCUUCGAUCUGUAGCUGGUCUGAGAGGACGGCCAGCCACACUGGCACUGACACACGGGCCAGACUCUACGGGAGCAGCAGUGGGAAUUUUGGGCAAUGGGCGAAAGCCUGACCCAGCAACGCCGCGUGAAGGAGGAAAUCCUUCGGGAUGUAAACUUCAUAAGUAAGGGAAGAAAGCUGCGGAUCGAAUAAGUCCGCAGUCCGACGGUACCUUACG
rnacentral:rRNA from 1 species